CUGCCAAAGUUCCUAUAUUAAGCACUAUAUUCAAUUCAUGUGCAGGAGGACUCAUGUUCAAGCUACCUCAAAGCAAUCUACAGUAUGUGACAUCCAUAACAUUCCUCCUUACAACCUAUUCCAAGUAUAUGGCAGCUAAAAAGUACCCAUUUAACUGCGGCAAUGUUUUAGGCACUCCAAACACCUUAAGAAGCGUAACGGAAAGACAGGUAAGCCUCAUUAUUUCGUCCUUUUGGAGUUCAAUUUACCAUGUUUUUGUCUUCAUUUGGUUCUCAGGAAACAGUAUGUCUUGAAAAGUGAUGUUCCAGGCUAAUGUCUAAGAUCUAGGUGCAAUCCAUUGACCAAAGUAAAUAGAUCUUUUCUUUCUAAGAGUUCCAUAUCUAAGUUUGAUUGGUGGUUCAUGGACUUCUCAUUCUCAAGAAAUCCAGCAGGGAUCAAUCAAGGACUACAUUUGAACCAAGUUACAACAAGAAAGCUGAUUUUGAAAAUAUCCUCUGCAAGAUGGAUACACAUAGGAGACUUUACAAGACUACAAAAAAGAGGGGAAGUCUUUUCAAAACUCUUCACAAGAACAAUCAGACAUUAGACAUAAGAAGGAUGUCUAAGGAUGGCUCUUGAUGUUGUGUGUUUCCUCUUUCUUAUUUACCGGCAAUCAAAUGAAUUGGUGUCUGAAUUUUGAGAGAUUGUUUCGAUUUCGUUAUAUUUCCUCACUACUACAUUUUGGUGGAGAGAGAUGGAUCGUAUUGAUUGAUGAUGAAAAGAGAUAAUUCCAAAAGAGAACAACGUCAUGUCCAAAGCAGUAUCAUAAUCUUGAAGGUGCGGAAGGGGAGGUCAAGCAGCACGUUGCGUUAUGGAAGGACCUUGCUACAUUCCUUAACUCCACGGACCUGAAGGGUUGUUACAAUAGCAUACAAAGAACCAGAAUUUUGAAGUCAUGAAUCAUGACGAGACAAUGUGUGUUUCAAAGGAAGAGGUUCUUAUUUGAAGAGAAUUCAAGCAAAAACUAUAGGAAGAAAAUAGUUUUAGAAAAUGGUUGGAGUUCAGCGCAUGGGAGAAUUUAUUUGUACUGUUAACUAUAUGAGUUAAUUUUAAU